UUUAAUAAUUAUAUAUUUUGACAUUUAUUUCAUUGGUUUGCAUGGUCUUAUUAGUUUGUCUCUUGACAUCACUUAGGAGAUUCCACUUGCAGAGGUCCUAGUUCCUUUGUUGAAAUGGCCACUCCUGUGACACAUAGCUGUGUUUGCCAGAUGUCUCACCCAGGAUCCAGGGCUCCAUUAUUUACUAAUGUGGUAGGUGAAGGCAAGAACAUGCCAUUCUGCUUAGCCACUUGUAUUGUAUCCAGAAAACUGUGAUUUUUCUAAUGCUCACACAUACUGUUCGGACAAAACUGUUGGCUUAUGGCAGUCAAACCUUUUAGUCUUGUUUCAUAUCCCUGCUAUCAACUGACAAAUUGCAUUCCUGAACUUUCAUGUUCAUCUGGUAUAUGGCUUAUAUGGCUUAUGGCUGGUAUAUAUGCAGAUACAUACUUUACAGUUGUCCAUGUUCAGAUAGAAAAGAGUAGGAGUGUUACAUAAAAUUAAGUACUUCUUGCCUUAAAAAUCUCCCAACAUAAAUGCCUAAGAUUGUCUCUAGAUUUAAAUGUUGAUUUCAAAGUCUUUGUAUUUUAAAUCCUAUAAAACUUUAAAAAUCUUAGGAUACCGAUUUUUGACUCCCCCUAAAAAUGAACAUUGAAGACCCAGGUCACCUCUUUGCUUUUCCUUAUAUAUGAACAUGUUCCUGUGGGAAAUUUGUUUAUUUCCAUAAAAGCUCUUAACAUGCAAACUAUAGUACUUUUUGCCUUUCUUAGUGUAUAUUGCAUCUUUGUUACAGAUAAUAUUUUACACUUACUGUUAUGUGUUUUCCAAAACCUGUUUCUAAUUGGGCAGAUGGCUGUCAAGGCAUAUUUAAAAAAAAAAAAAAUAAUAAAAUCUGUUUAACAUUUAGCUCUGCUGUUUGCCCUAAAGCUGUAAUUACUUAGGUAUUUUUUUCAUGUCACCAGCUUAUAAACUCCUGCCAUUAGGUUAUAGCUUACAGAAAACCCUCUUGUCUGAGGCACUAUGCUUCUUGCUUAUGUUACAUUCACAUUUGUGUGUUGCUAGGAUGAACAGGUACAUUUCUAAAACAGAAGAAUGUAUGAUAUACGGUAUGAAUAAAGACAACUUACCAUUGUUAUGUCUUUUCAUUGAACCAGGAAUUAACCUACUUCCUGAAGUCUUUCUUGACAUAUCAGAAUCUAGUUAUUAAAAGAGAGAAGAAUAAAUACCUCAAUUUUUCGUGUGGCUAUUUCAGAGAAUUCUGGUACAGUUGUGAGUAAAAAAAGUAAGAGGAUUCUUUUGGCAAGUGAAAGAAGAACUGAAUUUACAGUAGAUUCGGUGCCUGAUCCCAGGAGGUGUGUAUCAGAUGACUAACUACUUGCAAAGUCUCAUCGCUGAGAGUGAAACUGCAGGACAGCUUUAUGGGUUUCUCUUUCAUCCUUCCUUGUGAAGUGGAAGAAACCAUGACAAGGGAAUUUCUAAUGGCACCCCUGCUGAACAGUACCGUGAAGAGGACAGUAUGAUUUCUGACUUCUUCCAAGGUUCCCUCUUUGAGACUUCUUUUGCAUCAGUAGAAAAGAGAUUAAAUAAUAUUCUGAGGAAAACUAGCUUUUGAAUGUCAUAGUGGUUAAUAAGCGCUGAUGUGUGGAUAAAAAAAAAGACAAUCAAUAGAUCUCAGCAGCAAACAAAGUUUUCUUGCUUGCAUUAUUCUGGCUGCAAUGUACUGGAUCAGAGGAACCCAGGUGUGCAAGAGUUAAAUGUUACUUUCAAUAAGAAAUACUUAUGGGAGAAAAUGGAGUAACAGGAAUAAUGUCUGCAAGAAAACACAGCAAGAAGACAGCUUUUAGCACAGCCAGGACCACAAAGAGCAUGGAGAAGACGCAGAGGCAGUCCACAGAACUAAUGAAAAAUAAGACUUUUUUCAGUUCUUCUAAGUAAACUGU